rnacentral:rRNA from 1 species
UACGGGGGGGGCAAGCGUUGUUCGGAAUUACUGGGCGUAAAGGGCUCGUAGGUGGCCAACUAAGUCAGACGUGAAAUCCCUCGGCUUAACCGGGGAACUGCGUCUGAUACUGGAUGGCUUGAGUUCGGGAGAGGGAUGCGGAAUUCCCGGUGUAGCGGUGAAAUGCGCAGAUAUCGGGAGGAACACCGGUGGCGAAGGCGGGUCUCUGGGCCGUAACUGACGCUGAGGAGCGAAAGCAUGGGGAGCGAACAGG